UGCAGAAGCAUCUCCGGGACCAACCGAAACCGCACCGCGUCGUCCGCCACGCUCACGCAGAGUCGCAGACACGACAAGCGAGCGACAAGAGGGGGGAGUUGGGAGCGCACCGAAGCGAAGCAGCACUUGCGGCGAAGGAGAUGGCGACGACGAUGACGGCGAAGCGAGGCCCAAGCGGCGGCGAGAUGCGCGGCUCGGGGGGCCGCGCGCGCGCCUGCCCCGUCGGGGACGGAGAGACGGGGCACCCUUCCGCCGCCGCGCUCCGCGCCAGCCUCUCCACCAGGGAUCAGGAGAUUGAGGAAAUGCGGAGGCGGCUGCGCGAGUUGGAGAAGCUGGAGUUCGAGAUACCACCCGCCGCAUCGCACGAAGAAGAAUCUGAAGCUGCAGCAGCAACAGCUGAAAAGGCUGAGGUGGAUGCUCGCUCCAUCUAUGUCGGGAAUGUUGACUAUGCUUGCUUGCCAGAGGAAGUUCAGCAGCAUUUUCAGUUUUGUGGAACUAUCAACAGAGUGACAAUCUUGACAGACAGCUUUGGUCAACCAAAAGGCUUUGCUUAUGUGGAGUUUGAUGAAGUUGAGGCUGUCCAGAAUGCUCUUCUUUUGAAUGAAACAGAACUUCAUGGCCGUCCUUUGAAGGUUUGUCCAAAAAGAACCAACAUUCCAGGAAUGAAGCAAUCUAGGGGAAGGCAUCCUUUCUAUCCAUCAUAUGGGUAAGGACAUUUCUUCAUGAAGAUACAUUACACAUGGAUGUGCAAAGAUGCUACACAUGAAGGAAGUUACCAAGGUUCAGGAGGUUCCUGGGGUACGGCUACAGCCCUUACUACUGAUCCUACUGGGCUGAUGUGAUUCACCGAUACAUUUAGUUUUCUUGAGCUAGAAAAUCUCCCCAACAUAUCGUGGUAUAGAGGUAUAGUUCCAGUGUUGUGCAUCCCGGAUAGGCAGGAAUCGGAAGACGCGGCCCUUACAUAGUUUCUUCAUUGUCGUACCUCCCUUGAAGAUCAAACUUUAAUACAUCCUUCUACUUAGAAAAUGUGCAUCCGUGAUUUUUUCUGCAAUUAUCUGAAAUCAACCGGAUUGGCAGAUGUUCAGGAACUGUAGUUUUGUUCGGAGCCCUCUUUUUGACCAGAAAGUUGCAAUGGAGUAACUCUAGUUAUGUGA